ACAAUAUAAUAAGUGGUGCAGUAUUCUAGUCGGGUAAGUAUCUUUGAAGACGGGGCUAAAAAUCCGUUGAAGAGCAUAUCGAUGAAGUUCCUGGUGCUGGCUUGAGACGCCCAGUUUUGGGCUGGUGCUGGGAGUUAAGGUUGUGGGACAGACGCAAAGGCAUGUGGUCAUUGCUCCUACUUCCGUGGAGACCAUUGUAUGUGCUUUAGAAGAGAUGUCUAAAGUACGGCAAUGGAUUAAACCUGUAAUGUGGUGAGUUUAGCUAUGUGCAGUGUAGCUUGCCUUGAGUGAUAUAGGGGGAGGUUAGGUUGAGAUAACAAUUCUAGGCCAAGAAGUGUUAUUAAUUGCUUACUGAAACCUAUGUUGCAAAAGAGGAUAAAAAGAUACCCAACUGUUGAGGAAAUCUCCUAGACUGUUCUAAAAGAGACAUAUUAGGGAUUGUGGUGCGGACUAAGUGGUAAUCUGGCCCUAUGCAUUAGCAUAGAUAAGAUAUUCAAAGGAAACUGCUAAAAUGGCGACAUUUUAGUUAUCUUAUGGGAAAUCCUGCUAGACCUAAGCCGUAAAAUUAACUUAAUAUGUCACCACUUGUUUAAUU
rnacentral:sRNA from 1 species